UUUCAGCUGCGCAGUAAAAGUGAAGUUUUUUAAAGUGGGAACUAGUUCCGAAGAGUUGAUAUCAGCUCUGAUUGGAAGGUGCCAGUCGUGGCUUGCUAGAAGCUUAACUACUGAUCAAAUGCCAGAAUGUCGACCAUACUGGGAAAAUGGUGACCCAAAGAUGCCGCUUCCAUUUGACCUGUCAGAAAUAAUUUUAGAUCUGGAAAGCCAGCUAAUGCCUACAGCUGUACUUAAAACUCAUCCGUAAGUCUGCAUUGGUUUCUACCUCCUUCCAGAUACUGAAAAGCAGAGAUCAUAAAAGGGCAAAAAUCACUCAAAGUACAACUGCUUACAAUUUUUUUUCUAUCUCCGGGAUCACCAUCUUCUUAGUAAGAGGCACUCAGUCCUCCAAGAUGUACAAUUUUGAUGAUGUGCUGUCUAAGUUGUGUUUGUGUCACCAGCUGGUUAUUGUCCUAGAAAAUUGACUGAAGUGUUUUGAGCAGCAUAGAAUGAGAAGUUGACCAUCAGUACAAUUAUGCAAGCCUGGGCCAGUGGAAUGCAGACAUGUUUAAGCACUGAUAACAGAGAGACCGAUACCUCUAUAGAAUUUCCUGAUGCUCGAGGCAGUCAGCUUCCAUGUAUAGCUCUGCCAUUUGGCUGUGGUCAAGCUUUUUUAUCAGGAUUCUUAUUGAUUCGUAAAUGCAAACUUUAAGUAGUGAAGACAUCCCUUUAGACCUCUGACCCCCAGAAGGUCCAUGAGGAUAAUGAACAGGAAUUUUCAGAGAGGUGGCAACAGAGGAGGGUAACCUGGAAUGUGAAUGACACACAUUACAACAGGAGGAUGGGGACAGAACCACAGUAAAGGAGUUAGUCAACGUUUCUGUUAUUAAGAAUGAUAGUGACAAUUUAAAAAAUUUUAACUACAAUGAUGUCGAAGUUAACAACAAAUGAGUCAACCUGUUUGAGAAAGGCCUAACUUUUCUUCCCGAUAGAAAAGCCAAAAUUGAAAAUGCAUUGAUCAACUUUAAAUUAUUUGCUACGAAGUUGAAUUUGUUUAUAUUUUUCUAACACUAAUUUUAGUACCUACAGUUUAUCUAGACCAAGUACCUUUUUAAUUCACCCCUGCGUCCCACUGUGUGUUUGAGAAAAUACAUGAGUGUGACAUUAGAAAAAUUGUGCAAGGUAACAAGUAUAGGAGGCCAAAUCUUACGAAGGAUGAAAAAGUUUUAUUAAAUCAUAGUAUCAAGGAUAGACAAAUUAGGUUACUGAAACCAGACAAAGGUGGCAGCAUGGUCGUUAUGAAUUUUAAUGACUAUAUUCAUAAAAUGUUUACCAUUUUAUACACUAACACAAACAAAAAGGUGUCAGUCAGUCAAAGGAAGAUAACAUGUAGAUGCUUUGUUACAAGAGUUGUUGACACAGGAUCAAGUUACAAAACAUGAAUUUGAUGUGUUGAAUGUAUAUACACCAAGAACUCCUAUUUUUGGUAUUCCUAAGACACAUAAGGAUUUGUAUGAUGCACCUCCUCAUCCAAUAGUUGAUGCCAAAUCCUCCAAAACAAGUUAUUUGGCCAAAUUUACAGAUGCAAAACUCAAAAAUUUGACAACUAACAUUAAGUACCUGUUCACAGACUUAUGAGAUUUUUUUAAGUAGAAUUAGACUCUUUCUAUAAGGACCAAUUCAUUUUGCAAGCAUAGACAUCAAGGAUCUAUUUUCUGUGAUUCCACAUGAACUAGGUGUAGAGUGGUUUUACCAGUUUUUAUGUACGAACACUCAAUUUGUACAUAAAGACGUAUUAGUUCUUAGGAACAUGAUGGAAUUUAUUCUUACCAAUAACUAUAUUUUUUGAAGGACAACUGUUAUGACAAAAAACAGGUGUGGUUGUGGAGGCAGCCUGUGCCCCCAUUUUCUCUAAUUUAGUGAUAGCUUACUGGGAACAGAAUUAUAUAUUUAAUUCUUCUUUCAAAGCUUCAUGUUCCCUAUAUGGUCGUUUUUUUGGAUGUCAUCAUCAUAUUUUUAGACAAGCAGUUGAUACAUUAAAGGAAUUUUUUGAAUACAUUAAUGGUAUCACUGAAUUUUUUAAAUUCACCAUGAACCAGGAUGAACUACUUAGAUGUAUUCAUUUUUAAAAACAGGGAACUGAAUAAAUUUGAAUCAACAAUUUUUAGAAGAUCCACAUAUUCUAACCCUUUGUUGUACUUCUGUUGUUGGCACCCACGUUUUCAAAAAAAGCCUUGGUAAAAGGACAGACGGUGCAUUUAGCGAGGAUGGUUUCCCAAGACAAGGUUUUUUUUAUGACAGAUGUGAAAAACUGUGUGAGAUGCUGGUUAAAAGGGGUUAUCCUGUGACCUUAAUUAUGAAAGGCAAAGCAAAAUUUCUCAUUCCCUUUUGGGUAAAAAUGAAUUUGUCUUUCGCAGAGAUGAGCAGUAUGAGGGAAGGCUCAGGUCGAAUUGAACCUGUAUCUUAACAUUUAAUAUAGACUUUCAGGCUAUCAAAAAGGUCAUUUGUAAGAACUGGGGCAUUUUUUUCUAUUGACAAUGACUUAAUGCAGACAGGAGAAGCACCAAGGUUAUAUACAAGAAGAAUAUAUGUUUUAUGUUUUAAGAACCUUCUUGAGAGGUACAAGGAAGUUUGCAUCUCCCCAGGUAUGAGAACCUAUGGAUGUUGCAACCAAUAUCACAACAUUUUGGAAGGUAGUACAUUAUUUACUGAGGGAUAUGGUGAGGUGCUUAUCACACAUAAGUAACACUGUUUAAAUAGAAGAGUAGUUUCUGUUUCCCUGUGCACAAGCUGCCCCGGUUUUUAUAUAGGAAAAGCCGAAAGGGCUUUAAAAGCCAGAAUUUAUCAGCAUUUAUAUGACAUUAUAAAAGGGGGGGGGGGCGAAAGAAACGCCAUUUUCAAACAUAUUACAAACAACACUAGACAUAUGUUUAAAUUCUCUGUAAUAGAUAAUGUUUUCAUAGAUGAAAAACAUGGAUCAUGGAAGGACUGGAUUGAGGUAAAAGAACUGAAAUGGCAAUUAAAGACCAACGCCACCAGUAAAUAUGGUUUAAAAUGAAAUGGUUUCUAUCAGCAGUGUUUUAAGAUGGAAGGCAGUAUUGUAAAAUUGUGGAUUUUAAUAAUAUUUAUUGAAAGGAAGUGUUUAUACCACGUUUUGUAACAAAUAUGUUCAAGAAUCACGUUCAUAGACAUGUUAUGUUAUUUAAUGUGCAACAUCCAAGGCUCCUAGUAGUUUUUAAAAAAGAUUAAUAUUUUUAAAAGAACAACAGUUUUAGUUUUAUAUUUAGUUUUUAAAGUUUUUUUAGACAAAAUGUUUAAUACAAAUUACAUGCAUCUGAAUGGAUUUUCAUGUGCUUGUCACUUUAAGUUAACAAGAUGGGUGGAGAUAAGUUUAUAUAAGGACAGAAAUGGUGUAAGCAUUUAUUCUGAUGAAGUCCCAUCAUCAGGAGUGAAAGCACUCAAUGAGUUUUCAAUGAGAUUUAUUUUUACAAAUGUUCUUGGUUUUAAAUGGUGUUUUUAUCAUCCUUGGAAUAAAACAAAUUAACUGGA